rnacentral:lncRNA from 1 species
CACAGAUCAUGGAGGACUGUUUUAUCUGUUUGUGAUCUGCCGUCCUCUGUGAGCCUCAGGAUGGAUGUUUGCCAGCCGAUUCCAUGGUUACAAGCUCUAUAGCUGCAUCUAUGUGUUAGGAGCAUGAAGACCAAUAAUGGAUGCACUGAGCUGAUUAUGAAUUUAGCCCUGAUGAAGACUUGUGUUGCUGUCAUGAUAUGAAAGAUUCCAGUAAUGAACGCACUUGAGUUGAUUCAAGCACGCUUCCAUGGUCAUGAGCUCUGUGGUUGCAUCUGUGUGUUAGGAGCAUGCAGACCAAUAGUGAUAAUCUCGAGGUGAUUUAUGCAUUCUUCCAUGGCCACCAGCCUUAUGAUUGCAUCUGUGCGUCACAGCUUAGAGAUCAAUAAUGGAUGCAACAAGCUCUUUGAAUCAUUCUGUUGGGAUCAAGAUUGUUGUGUUCCCUCUGUUUGGAAAGAGACCAAGAAUGGAUACGCUCAGGUGAUUUAAGCAGUCUUCCAUGGCCACGAGCUCUGUGGUUGCCUCUGUAUAUUAAGAGCACAGAGAUUAAAAAUGGGUGCACUUGAGCCGAUUGAAACAUUCCUCCUUGCAUCUUUCUUCUGUGAUUGCAUCUAUUUGUUAGUAGCAUAGAGACCAAUAAUAGAUGGCUUGUGCUGAUGGAAGGAUUCCUCCCUGGUGACAUGCUGUGUCUGCCUCUUGAUUGGGAGCACGCAGACCUACAAUGAUGCACUUUUUAUGAUUUGAGAAUUCCUUCAUGGUCACGUGCUCUGUUUUUAUCAUGGUUGGGAGCCUGCAGAGCAAUAAGGGACAUGCCUUUGCUGAUUUGAGGAUUCCUCUGAGGUUGGGAGCUAAGUUUGCAUCAUGCUUAGAAAGGAGUGUGCAGACCUGUAAUGAUUGCACUUUGCUGAUUGAAGGAUUCCUUCAAGUCCAUGUGCUCCACUUGCACCAUUUUUAGGAUGGAGCCUGGAGACCUAUAAUGAACAACUUGUGCUGUGUUAAGGAUUCCU